UGCAGUCGACGAUGAUGGGAGCUUGCUCCUGGAUUAGUGGCGAACGGGUGAGUAACACGUGAGUAACCUGCCCUUAACUCUGGGAUAAGCCUGGGAAACUGGGUCUAAUACCGGAUAUGACUCCUCAUCGCAUGGUGGGGGGUGGAAAGCUUUAUUGUGGUUUUGGAUGGACUCGCGGCCUAUCAGCUUGUUGGUGAGGUAAUGGCUUACCAAGGCGACGACGGGUAGCCGGCCUGAGAGGGUGACCGGCCACACUGGGACUGAGACACGGCCCAGACUCCUACGGGAGGCAGCAGUGGGGAAUAUUGCACAAUGGGCGCAAGCCUGAUGCAGCGACGCCGCGUGAGGGAUGACGGCCUUCGGGUUGUAAACCUCUUUCAGUAGGGAAGAAGCGAAAGUGACGGUACCUGCAGAAGAAGCGCCGGCUAACUACGUGCCAGCAGCCGCGGUAAUACGUAGGGCGCAAGCGUUAUCCGGAAUUAUUGGGCGUAAAGAGCUCGUAGGCGGUUUGUCGCGUCUGCCGUGAAAGUCCGGGGCUCAACUCCGGAUCUGCGGUGGGUACGGGCAGACUAGAGUGAUGUAGGGGAGACUGGAAUUCCUGGUGUAGCGGUGAAAUGCGCAGAUAUCAGGAGGAACACCGAUGGCGAAGGCAGGUCUCUGGGCAUUAACUGACGCUGAGGAGCGAAAGCAUGG
rnacentral:rRNA from 1 species